UAAACGAUGAUCACUAGACAUCGGCGACAUACUGUCGGUGUCAAAGCGAAAGUAUUAAGUGAUCCACCUGGGGAGUACGCCGGCAACGGUGAAACUCAAAGGAAUUGACGGGGGCCCGCACAAGCGGUGGAGCAUGUGGUUUAAUUCGAUGAUACGCGAGGAACCUUACCUGGGCUUAAAUGCAGAACGACCGAUCCGGAAACGGAUCUUUCUUCGGACGGACUGCAAGGUGCUGCAUGGUUGUCGUCAGCUCGUGCCGUGAGGUGUCGGGUUAAGUCCCAUAACGAGCGCAACCCCUAUCGUUAGUUGCCAGCGGAUAAUGCCGGGGACUCUAACGAAACUGCCCGUGCAAGCGGAGAGGAAGGUGGGGAUGACGUCAAAUCAUCACGGCCCUUACGUCCAGGGCUACACACGUGCUACAAUGGCGCAUACAAAGGGCAGCUACCACGCGAGUGGAUGCUAAUCUCUAAAGUGCGUCUCAGUUCGGAUUGAAGUCUGCAACUCGACUUCAUGAAGCUGGAAUCGCUAGUAAUCGCGCAUCAGCCAUGGCGCGGUGNAUACGUUCCCGGGCAUUGUACACACCGCCCGUCAAGCCAUGGAAGCUGGGGGUGCCUGAAGUCGGUGACCGCAAGGAGCCGCCUAG
rnacentral:rRNA from 1 species